AUCAUCCGAGGGGGCAACGGCCUGGCGGGCUGGUAGCUGGAUAGGGAGGGAGGAGCUAUCUAGCUCGUUCUUCCUGCUGCUUCCCCCCAUCUCCCCUUUGCUCCCACCCAUCGGCAGAGCCUGCCUCCCUCGACCCGCCUCCUCUCCCCCGCCUCCCCACCUGAAGGAGGACCUCGUUUUCCCUGCCCAGGGACGGACUGCCUGGCGGCCGCGGGCUCCCAAAAAGUGCGGGGGCUGUGCCGCCGCCUGGAGAAGCAGCUAGGCAGCUGUCGGAGCUGGAGUGCUCGAGCGGGGGCAACUCGAGGGCAGGCGGGUCCUUGACGCCUACUCUCCGCCCCCAUCCUCCUCUUCUUUCUCUGCUCGGACCCACCUGCCGGGCCUUUGCCGCAUGGCGCUGUCCGGGGGAGCCGUGGCGCUGCCUCCUCCUCCUUUUUCUUCUCCUCCUCUUCCUCCUCCUCCUCUUCCUCCUCGGGAUGCUGCAGUUCGCCGGGUGCGGGUCUUCGGCUGCUGGUAGCAGCGGCAGCAGUGUCCUAGGCAGCAGCGUCCGAGGCAGCGGCAUCCGAGGCAACGGCAGCUGCAUCCCAGGCAGUAGCGUCUCCAGGAGACCGCACGGCUUCCCAGAGCUUCACUGACUCGCUUCCCCUGAGCGAGGUGUCUCCGGGUGCUCGGGCAGUGCGCGGGCUGGGAUACAGGCCACUUCAGCUGGAGAAAGGAGAAGCCUAGGGCAGUCCAAGGGCUCUCUGUGAAUGGAUCCGAGGGGUUCCAAGAGCGUAGCGGCGGCCCCGGGGACCGGGGAGCUUUGAGUGCGGAGAAUGUGCCCCGGCCAGGCGACCGCGCCUGGGAGGAGGACCAGACUCCUGAGUCCAGCUUGGCAACUCACACACUAACUCGACUGGGUCCAACUUCCCGGCUCCGGCUCCGGCUCCUACGCAGCCGGAGCCCUGCUCUAUGGCCGCAGCGGGCUGCGUGGACCCCGCGGCGCCGCAGGUAGGUGAGCUUGGGGGUUCCCUCCCCCACUCAUUCCGCUCUUUUUCCUGUUCCCCUCCCCCCACUCUGUUUUUUCUUGCCCCUCUUCCCCUAUUCUUUCUCGCCGCUGGGGCCGCAGAAGGCGCGCAGGGAUUAGGGGGACUUGUUUGGGGUGCACUGCCAGAACGUGUCGUUGGGCUCAUCUUGCGGGACACAGACGUGGGGCUGAGGCCGCGGGUAUUACACCAAGGGAAGGAAGAACGUCUGGAACUCUGGCCCCUCUGCCCAGAGCAAGCAGUAAACCUCGAGAUUUCUGUUCAGAGACAUGCUCACUGUCCACAAGCAUUUGAAGUGACUCGACAUUCAGGAUAAGUGGUAAAAAUAUGAAUUUAU
rnacentral:lncRNA from 1 species